rnacentral:tRNA from 2 species
UCCCUGGUGGCCUAGUGGUUAGGAUUCAGCACUAUUACUGCUGUGGCCCAGGUUCAAUCCCUGGCCUGGGAA